rnacentral:misc_RNA from 1 species
GGACUUACUGUUGCCGUUAAAACCCUUAAUCAUGAUGGGCUUCAGGGUCAUAAAGAGUGGUUGGCUGAAGUGAAUUUUCUUGGUGAUCUUGUUCAUCCUAACUUGGUUAAACUGGUUGGUUAUUGCAUUGAAGAUGAUCAGAGGCUUCUAGUCUAUGAGUUUAUGCCUCGAGGAAGCUUGGAGAACCACCUAUUUAGAAGAUCUCUUCCUCUUCCAUGGUCCAUAAGGAUGAAAAUUGCCCUAGGUGCUGCAAA